CCUACGGGAGGCAGCAGUGAGGAAUAUUGGUCAAUGGACGAGAGUCUGAACCAGCCAAGUAGCGUGCGGGAUGACUGCCCUAUGGGUUGUAAACUGCUUUUAUGCGGGAAUAAAGUCAGGUACGUGUACCUGUUUGUAUGUACCGCAUGAAUAAGGACCGGCUAAUUCCGUGCCAGCAGCCGCGGUAAU
rnacentral:rRNA from 1 species